UAGUAAUUUUUUUUUUUACUCUAAAUAACUUCCAGAAAUCAAAAGAUAAAUUGAAGGGAGUAAAUCACGAGGCAGCAGAUCCUCUGGUGCCGGAUUAGUACCUGUCCCUCUGUCCCCACCUAUCAAGGCGGUUUUAAUUUCAAAGUUAUAUAGUAACCAUACAAAUGUUCUUCAAUUCAUUCAUUCAUAGAAGAAAGAAAGGCUUCUUUUUUUUCUUCUUCUAUCAAGGAAACAUAGAUUUCUGAUUUAUGUUUCAGUUUGGGUGCUGCUGAAAAGGAUUCACUAUUAAGGUUAUUCUCCAUCUCUAAAACGAAAAGGGUGGAUUUUUACUCAAUCUCUUCUUAGUUUUUCUUUUAUCGCUCUUUCAAUUCAACUGCGGGAUUUUAAUUUUAGGGAUUUUUGGUUUCAGGGUCACUGUGAAGAGAAGAGCUGAUGGUAAUAACUAAACUAAUCAAACCUAUUUUUGAUUCUUCAUUUUUGAUCAUGAUUUUAGGCAUUCGGGGUUGGCUGUUGGCAGUGGACAGCGGCGGAAGCACAGCAAGACUUCCCCUGCAUUGUCGAAGUGUUUAGUCUUUGCCAGUUCUGUGUAAAUUAGGAUCCUGCACUUUAGUUGUUUGUGGAAAUGCCCACGAGAGGGCAGUUGCAAGGGUGGGGGUUCUUGCUCGACCAAUAAUUGGUAGAGAAUACAAGGAAUGCUUUAGUGGAAAUCAUAAUACUGGUAUCCAUCAAAGAAGUGCAUUAAGGAAUCGCUGCCCCAUAUUUGUUGGAAACAGCAGUCGUCGUUAAAGAGAAUAAGAGUGCCCGAAAAAGAACAUGAUGUACAGUUUUGCUAUUAGGACUUUCCGAUGUUCUUUUAAGAGGGAGAAGCUAAUGAUGGCUAAAGAAUACCUGCGCAAAGGUUAGUGUAUCAAAACCUUCAUACCCAUCCUCCAAAUCAGAGUCGGACUUGUUGAUUGGGACAAGUUAAGAGGCAGAAAUAAUAUUUUCUAACUCUGAUCCAUGUCUUUUUGCUUUCUUUUGUGAUGUAAAUUACCUGUUGACACAUUGUUCCCUAUACUGUGUUAGUUUCUACACAUUUGUUUCAUGUCGUUGCUGAUAUGCUUGUUGGUUUGAAGGUCAAUGACUCGGUUGUGAUAUAGGUAGAGAAAGGAAUUCAUAAUGUUGAUGAUGAUGCCAAGCCGACAUGUCUUGUUCAAGUUUGUAGCAUCUAUAUGCUUGACUAUGUGUUGUGAUAUAGUAUAAAUAAUGUGCAUUACCUUGUCCUGAAUUUUCGUGCAGUACUACAUUAAAUUGAGCUGAUUUUGCUGAAUUUUUUUUUAGUUAAGUGGAAAUAUGAAGUACAGAAACUUGGCUUUUGUUUAGACCUCAUAUUACCUUGUAGUACGUCUUGAGAUGCUUCUCUUUUAGCUUAUGCACCCUUAACACUGUACAUCUACAUGUCUUGCAUAUAUAAAAUAAAAGAUUCGACUAUGUUCAUUUGGAAUUGAAGAUUUUCCAAUUUUAAGACUGAAUUAAUCUUUUUAUCUUUUUGGUUUUAAUUUAAGCUUCAUUCCCGAGAUCUCCCAACGGUGAAGGAGGAUCUUAUGACGUCAAUGGAAAAGAGUUACGCCCAUCCUUGGGUUGGACCUCAGAGAUGGGUUGGACUGCACCCAUAUCCAAGGGGAUUCAUGCCUUGAGGGCUCAACUGGAAGCAGCAAAAUAUGAUGUGAUUAAGUAUUGCACUGGACUGAAUACGAUGAUAGAUGUGUGAAUAUUUUCUCAGCUGAAGGGAGAGUGUUUCAAGUUUAAGCUAUUAAGGUAGAGCACUGGCGAAGGCCUGUGUAUGCAAAUAUUCAGUAAUUCAUUCAGUUCCAGCCCACAGUUGAUGUUGCUGCUCUUCCCGAUGAUCUUUAUGGAUGCCGUCACUCUAUUACCGAUGGUCUCAUGAUCGAGGAGCACUGAUGUCAUGAUUGUUGGUAAGAUCCCUGUUGUUGCUGGAUACGGAGAUGUUGGAAAGGGUUGUGGUUCUGCAGUUCUGCUCUCAAGCUGGUGCCCAGGUGAUGAUCACUAAAAUUGAUGAAAUUUUUAGGACUUGUAGCACUUCUUUGUAAGAAAGCUUGGACUUGUAAAUUAGGAGUUGAAUCCUUUUGUAUGAUUUUGAAUUAAAUUUAUGAGUACAAUUUAAUGUAAUGGAAUUGUCAUCUUGUAUGGAUGAAUAAGGUUAUAGAUUUGUCAUUUUAAUUUUAGU